CGGCGGGCACCGGGAGCAGGUUUGACUGACUCCCGCUCCCGCCCAGCCUCCUCCAGUUCGCUGCCGACCCCUAAACUUGAAAAUCAAAGUGAAUGAAGCACUGAUGUGGAAUGCACUGAUGGCUGAGAUAAUGAAAGCAUAAAUUCCACGUGUCUAGUGGGAGAGGGUGAGUAUAUUGAGAGCACCAGCCCCAAGUGAUCAAUAAAGCUCAUGGGUAAAGGUCAGAGUGUCAUCAAGUGACCAGGAGGAGCUGGAGGCAGCAGAUGCCUGUGUUUGGUGGCCCAUGCUUCAUGCUGGGGACUGACUGUGUGAGAAAACCUUCCAGGCACACAGCUGCUGGAUUUUGGGAUCUAGAAACCUAGGGAGUAGGGAGGGGAAUAAGACAAAGGAGCCAGGUGCUUUCUGGAUUCAGACUUGCUGGCCUGUGGACCCAACAGUCUUACCCUCUGUCAGCUGCUGGGGAAGGCAGGGUUGGACCUGAUGCAGCUUGAGCCUGGCAAGGGAAUUCCAUGGAAAAUAAAUCCUGGAUGGGUGGGUGAUUGGAUGUGGGUGCAGGAGUAGUGAUUUGGGAAUCCGUGUUACCUGAAAUGAGGCCUUGGAAUGUUGUUUGGUUGUAAACCUGUGGUAGAGAACAAAAUAAAACUUCUGUUGCUUGGUGUGUA